rnacentral:rRNA from 1 species
CGGAUCAGGUAGGAAUACCCGCUGAACUUAAGCAUAUC